UACGAAGGGGGCUAGCGUUGCUCGGAAUCACUGGGCGUAAAGCGCACGUAGGUGGCUUGUUAAGUCAGGGGUGAAAUCCUGGAGCUCAACUCCAGAACUGCCUUUGAUACUGGCGAGCUUGAGUUCGGGAGAGGUGAGUGGAACUGCGAGUGUAGGGGUGAAAUUCGUAGAUAUUCGCAAGAACACCAGUGGCGAAGGCGGCUCACUGGCCCGAUACUGACACUGAGGUGCGAAAGCGUGGGGAGCAAACAGG
rnacentral:rRNA from 1 species